rnacentral:rRNA from 1 species
CCUACGGGUGGCAGCAGUGGGGAAUAUUGCACAAUGGGGGGAACCCUGAUGCAGCGACGCCGCGUGAGUGAAGAAGUAUUUCGGUAUGUAAAGCUCUAUCAGCAGGGAAGAAGAUGACGGUACCUGACUAAGAAGCCCCGGCUAACUACGUGCCAGCAGCCGCGGUAAUACGUAGGGGGCAAGCGUUAUCCGGAUUUACUGGGUGUAAAGGGAGCGUAGACGGCAGGGCAAGUCUGGAGUGAAAGCCCGGGGCCCAACCCCGGGACUGCUUUGGAAACUGCCAUGCUAGAGUGCUGGAGAGGGAAGCGGAAUGCCUAGUGUAGAGGGGAAAUGCGUAGAUAUUAGGAGGAACACCAGUGGAGAAGGCGGCUUAAUGGACAGUAACUGACGUUGAGGCUCGAAAGCGUGGGGAGCAAACAGGAUUAGAUACCCUAGUAGGC